UCCGGUUGAUCCUGCCGGACCCGACUGCUAUCGGAGUGGGUCUAAGCCAUGCGAGUCGUACGCCCCCUAGCUACGGCGGGGGCGUGGCGUACGGCUCAGUAACGCGUGGUCAACCUACCCUGCGGACGGCUAUAACCUCGGGAAACUGAGGCUAAUAGCCGAUAGGGGAUGGGCGCUGGAACUGCCCUGUCUCUGAAAGGCCUAACUACCCAUGCGUAGUCAGGUGCCGCAGGAUGGGACUGCGUCCGAUCAGGUAGACGGUGGGGUAACGGCCCACCGUGCCGAUAACCGGUACGGGCCCUGGGAGGGGGAGCCCGGAGAUGGGCACUGAGAUAAGGGCCCAGGCCCUACGGGGCGCAGCAGGCGCGAAACCUCCGCUAUGCGCGAAAGCGCGACGGGGUCACUCCGAGUGCCGACCGCUGAGGUCGGCUUUUGCCCAGUCCAAAAGGCUGGGCGAAUAAGGGGAGGGCAAGUUUGGUGUCAGCCGCCGCGGUAAUACCAACUCCCCGAGUGGUCGGGACGGUUAUUGGGCUUAAAGCGUCCGUAGCCGGCCUAGCAAGUUCCCGGUUAAAUCCGGCGUCUCAAGCGCCGGGCCGCCGGGAAGACUGCUAGGCUUGGGAGCGGGAGAGGCGGGCGGUAUUCCCUGGGUAGGGGUAAAAUCCUCAGAUCCAGGGAGGACCAUCAGUGGCGAAGGCGGCCCGCUAGAACGCGUCCGACGGUGAGGGACGAAAGCUGGGGGAGCGAUCCGGAUUAGAUACCCGGGUAGUCCCAGCCGUAAACGAUGCAGGCUAGGUGUGUGGGUGGCUUCGAGCUACCCAUGUGCCGAAGGGAAACCGUUAAGCCUGCCGCCUGGGGAGUACGGCCGCAAGGCUGAAACUUAAAGGAAUUGGCGGGGGAGCACCACAAGGGGUGAAGCCUGCGGUUCAAUUGGAGUCAACGCCCGGAACCUUACCCGGGGAGACAGCAGAAUGAAGGCCGGGCUGAAGACCCUGCCAGACAAGCUGAGAGGUGGUGCAUGGCCGUCGCCGGCUCGUACCGUGAGGCGUCCGGUUAAGUCCGGAAACGAGCGAGACCCGCGCCGCUAGUUGCUCCGAUCCUCUUCGGGGGAUCGAGGAAACUAGUGGGACUGCCGCCGACAAGGCGGAGGAAGGAGCGGGCUACGGCAGGUCAGUAUGCCCUGAAUCCCCGGGGCCACACGCGGGCUGCAAUGGCGCGGACAAUGGGUUCCGACCCUGAAAGGGGAAGGUAAUCCCGAAACCGCGCCUCAGUUGGGAUCGAGGGCUGCAACCCGUCCUCGUGAACCUGGAAUCCCUAGUAACCGCGCGUCAUCAUCGCGCGGUGAAUACGUCCCUGCUCCUUGCACACACCGCCCGUC
rnacentral:rRNA from 1 species